rnacentral:rRNA from 1 species
CAGUCGCCGCGGUAAUACCGAGGGUGCGAGCGUUAAUCGGAUUUACUGGGCGUAAAGCGUGCGUAGGCGGCUUCUUAAGUCGGAUGUGAAAUCCCUGAGCUUAACUUAGGAAUUGCAUUCGAUACUGGGAAGCUAGAGUAUGGGAGAGGAUGGUAGAAUUCCAGGUGUAGCGGUGAAAUGCGUAGAGAUCUGGAGGAAUACCGAUGGCGAAGGCAGCCAUCUGGCCUAAUACUGACGCUGAGGUACGAAAGCAUGGGGAGCAAACAGGAUUAGAUACCCCCGUAGUCCCUGUCUCUUAUAU